AGGAAAGUCAGUCGAGUGAGCAUCUCCGACACGGCAGCAACUGCAGCGCACUCUCCAUCUGCCUUCUUCACCGUAUUGCCAGUUCGCAACCAUGGUUAACUAAGGCGUCGUAUGCUAUUGGGUGUUUUUGUAUGGCUGGGUCGACCACUGCUGUACCGAUGUCUUCUGGGUAUGGUGGAUGCCAAACCGCAACGUGCCGCCUUACUACACAACAACAACAACAUACGCAACAACCGGUUCCUACACCACCAAGGCUCUAGAGUGUUACGCUACAAUUCAUGAUGCCCCGAGCAGCUACACCGAAUCCCCGAAGUAUAACUCUGCCCUGAGUUACAUCACCAGAGAGGCGGAGUACUGCACCGAGGCCCCGCAGUACUACAACACCGAAGCGCUCAAGUACUACACUACAACCUACGCUGCCCCGAGCUACUACAUCUACGUCCCGAAGUAUUACUGUGCGUAAAAGGAGUCGUUAAAAAAAAAAAGAAGUCGUGCCCAAACUGCAGAGCCUUAUCUGUCACCAACUGGAUUCCUCAUCGUGUAACCGAUUCUCAGUUAUGGUCAACUAUGGCGUCGUGCUCCUGUUGGGUGUUGUAUCGUUGAUGGCUGGGUC